GGCUGAUCCAAAUACAGUGGUAGUUACAACCAGUUACAGAUUUCUUUAUUCCAUCUUUAUUCCCACUGCUUCACUUGACUAGCCUUAA
rnacentral:Y_RNA from 1 species